UUUUAAAGAGCCGCGGUAUUUUGACCGUGCAAAGGUAGCAUAAUCAUUAGUCUCUUAAUUAGGGGCUGGAAUGAAUGGCUUGACGAGAAAUCAACUGUCUCUUAAUAAAAUUUAGAAUUUAACUUUUAAGUUAAAAGGCUUAAAUUAUUCUUUAGGACGAGAAGACCCUAUAGAGCUUGACAUUUUAUUUAUAUAUAGUUUUUAGAUAAUCUUUCUAUAUUUAAUUAUGAUGUUAUGUUGGGGUGACAUGAAGAAUAAUUAAACUCUUCAUUAUUAAAUCAUUAAUUUAUGUUAUUAUGAUCCAUAAUUUAUGAUCGUAAGAUAAAGUUACCUUAGGGAUAACAGCGUAAUUGCUUUUGAGAGCCCAUAUCGACAAAGCGGAUUGCGACCUCGAUGUUGGAUUAAGAAAAAUUCUAGGUGCAGUAGUCUAGAAAUUAGGUCUGUUCGACCUUUAAAUUCUUACG
rnacentral:rRNA from 1 species